rnacentral:rRNA from 1 species
ACGGGGACCCGCACAAGCGGUGGAGUAUGUGGCUUAAUUCGAUGCAACGCGAAGAACCUUACCCAGACUUGACAUGUAUUGCUAAUUUGCUGAAAGGCAAAGANCCUUCGGGGACCUUACACAGGUGCUGCAUGGCCGUCGUCAGCUCGUGUCGUGAGAUGUUCGGUUAAGUCCGGCAACGAGCGCAACCCCUGUGACUAGUUACUAACAUUUAGUUGAGGACUCUAGUCAGACUGCCCAGAUCAACUGGGAGGAAGGUGGGGAUGACGUCAGGUCAGUAUGGCCCUUACGUCUGGGGCUGCACACGUACUACAAUGCCCAGUACAAUGAGAACCGAGACCGCGAGGUGGAGGAAAUCUACAAAACUGGGCUCAGUUCGGAUUGGAGGCUGCAACUCGCCUCCAUGAAGUUGGAAUCGCUAGUAAUGGCACAUCAGCUACGGUGCCGUGAAUACGUUCCCGGGUCUUGUACACACCGCCCGUCACAUCAUGGAAGCCGAUCGCACCCGAAGUGUGCUGCGC